CCUACGGGAGGCAGCAGUAGGGAAUUUUCGGCAAUGGGGGGAACCCUGACCGAGCAAAGCCGCGUGAACGAAGAAGUUAUUCGUAAUGUAAAGUUCUUUUAACAGGGAAGAAAGAGAAAUUUGACGGUACCUGAAGAAUAAGCUCCGUCAAACUACGUGCCAGCAGCCGCGGUAAUACGUAGGGAGCGAGCGUUAUCCGGAAUUAUUGGGUGUAAAGGGUGCGUAGAUGGCAUAGUAAGUCUUUGGGAAAAUUGCGGGGCUCAACGCAGUAAGGCAAAAGAUACUGUGCAGCUUGAGUGUGAGAGAGGUAAGUGGAACUAGAGGUGUAGCGGUGAAAUGCGUAGAUAU
rnacentral:rRNA from 1 species